AACGAACGCUGGCGGCAUGCCUAACACAUGCAAGUCGAACGAGACCUUCGGGUCUAGUGGCGCACGGGUGCGUAACGCGUGGGAACCUGCCCUUAGGUUCGGAAUAACUCCCCGAAAGGGGUGCUCAUACCGGUUAAUGUCUUCGGACCAAAGAUUUAUCGCCUUUGGAUGGGCCCGCGUUGGAUUAGCUAGUUGGUAGGGUAAAAGCCUACCAAGGCGACGAUCCAUAGCUGGUCUGAGAGGAUGAUCAGCCACACUGGGACUGAGACACGGCCCAGACUCCGACGGGAGGGAGCAGUGGGGAAUAUUGGACAAUGGGCGAAAGCCUGAUCAAGCAAUGCCGGGUGAGUGAUGAAGGCCUUAGGGUUGUAAAGCUCUUUGACACGGGAUGAUAAUGACAGUACCGGGAGAAUAAGCUCCGGCUAACUCCGUG
rnacentral:rRNA from 1 species